AGCGCCACCUGCGGAGCUGCGGCGCCCACGCGGCCGCGACCCCGCCGCCCCUUGCUCCCGCCACAUACACACACACACACACACACACACACACUCACGCGCGCGCGCAAAAAAACAAGUUGCAGGUCGCCUCUGCCGGAGGGGGCCAGGCGGGUCACUCACCCUCAUCCUGCUCAGUGGGCUCUGGUCGUCGGGCCGCGAGGACAGGGAAGACCAGAGGACCACGAGCCCCAGGAAGCUUCCCACCACCAGCAAACUGCGGCUCCUUAAGGAGGUGGAUUUGUAAUCGAAAGGCCCAGGUGAGAUGUGCAAACACCACAGAACUAAAAGAGGACUCACUUGGAAAGGCAGUAUUGCCUUCUCUCUUGGGCUAAUUAGAAAGCCAAGUCGACUAGCUAAUUCUCACUACGGUCCCUGUUAAUGGACUUGCAAGUUCCUACUCUGGGGAAAGUGGAUUUCGGGCUUUUAAAACGUUCCGUACAUGCAUCGUUGCUUCUCUCACAACUGACUUUUCCAGGAAAGGAUAUUGGCAAAUGUUUAGCUACACGCCUCUCCCUUGUACAUUGUGCCAAAGAUGUCAAUCACUUUAAAUCACAGUCUGCAGUGUGUGCCAUACCCCUAAACUACUCAAUUUGUUGAACAAAUGCUUUUCGGUAGCAGGUUUAAGGAUGGCGUAAAUUGACCUUUUUAAUCCUAAUAUUGCCUUAUCUGCAUGUAUUUUGCUUUCGAAACAAGUGAAACUUGGUUAAGUCUCCCCUAGUGAUCAACAGUAUAUGCAUUGUUAUUCAGAUAUGGUUGUCCACUAUUGAGAAGAUGGAAAACUGACUGUGAUUAUGAGCAUAGCUGGGAAGUAGCCCUCAUCGCUGAAGUGAUGGGAGCUCACCCAACUGCUGUUAGUAGUCUAAGAUGACCUUGCCACCACAACUUGAAAUAUGCAAGGCCAAAAAGUUAGAAAAUGAUAACCAGGUAUUCGGUUGUAAAAGCCGGUGUUCCUCUGAGUUCUUAACAUUGUUUAAGUGAAACUGAAAGUAUACCUUAAAAUAUACGAUUUUCGCCACACUUGUUGGCAGUUAGCCUUUGUAGAGAACUCUUUAGAAAAUGAGAAGCUAUGUUAAAUGAUUGGGUCAGGAAAAAGUCACACUUAGCCUCUCUGAGCCUAGGGCCCUUAUCUGCCAAAAUCAUGAUUAUAAUACUUCAUAGUAUUGCCAAAAGAGAUAAUUGAGGCCAAGUGCACAUGCAGAUAAUAAAAUAAAGCACAGAUAAUAC
rnacentral:lncRNA from 1 species